rnacentral:misc_RNA from 1 species
GAAAUGCGAUAAGUAAUGUGAAUUGCAGAAUUCAGUGAAUCAUCGAAUCUUUGAACGCACAUUGCGCCCGCCAGUAUUCUGGCGGGCAUGCCUGUCCGAGCGUCAUUUCAACCAUCAAGCCCCCGGGCUUGUGUUGGGGACCUGCGGCUGACCGCAGGCCCUGAAAACCAGUGGCGGGCUCGCUGUCACACCGAGCGUAGUAGCAAUCACCUCGCUCAGGGCGUGCUGCGGGUUCCGGCCGUUAAACAGCCUUACAAAACCCAAGGUUGACCUCGGAUCAGGUAGGAAGACCCGCUGAACUUAAGC